AUGAACGCUGGCGGCGUGCCUAAUACAUGCAAGUCGAACGAGUUCUUGUUGAUGAUCGGUGCUUGCACCAAGAUUCAACAUGGAACGAGUGGCGGACGGGUGAGUAACACGUGGGUAACCUGCCCUUAAGUGGGGGAUAACAUUUGGAAACAGAUGCUAAUACCGCAUAGAUCCAAGAACCGCAUGGUUCUUGGCUGAAAGAUGGCGUAAGCUAUCGCUUUUGGAUGGACCCGCGGCGUAUUAGCUAGUUGGUGAGGUAAUGGCUCACCAAGGCGAUGAUACGUAGCCGAACUGAGAGGUUGAUCGGCCACAUUGGGACUGAGACACGGCCCAAACUCCUACGGGAGGCAGCAGUAGGGAAUCUUCCACAAUGGACGCAAGUCUGAUGGAGCAACGCCGCGUGAGUGAAGAAGGCUUUCGGGUCGUAAAACUCUGUUGUUGGAGAAGAAUGGUCGGCAGAGUAACUGUUGUCGGCGUGACGGUAUCCAACCAGAAAGCCACGGCUAACUACGUGCCAGCAGCCGCGGUAAUACGUAGGUGGCAAGCGUUAUCCGGAUUUAUUGGGCGUAAAGCGAGCGCAGGCGGUUUUUUAAGUCUGAUGUGAAAGCCCUCGGCUUAACCGAGGAAGCGCAUCGGAAACUGGGAAACUUGAGUGCAGAAGAGGACAGUGGAACUCCAUGUGUAGCGGUGAAAUGCGUAGAUAUAUGGAAGAACACCAGUGGCGAAGGCGGCUGUCUGGUCUGUAAAUGACGCUGAGGCUCGAAAGCAUGGGUAGCGAACAGGAUUAGAUACCCUGGUAGUCCAUGCCGUAAACGAUGAAUGCUAGGUGUUGGAGGGUUUCCGCCCUUCAGUGCCGCAGCUAACGCAUUAAGCAUUCCGCCUGGGGAGUACGACCGCAAGGUUGAAACUCAAAGGAAUUGACGGGGGCCCGCACAAGCGGUGGAGCAUGUGGUUUAAUUCGAAGCAACGCGAAGAACCUUACCAGGUCUUGACAUCUUUUGAUCACCUGAGAGAUCAGGUUUCCCCUUCGGGGGCAAAAUGACAGGUGGUGCAUGGUUGUCGUCAGCUCGUGUCGUGAGAUGUUGGGUUAAGUCCCGCAACGAGCGCAACCCUUAUGACUAGUUGCCAGCAUUUAGUUGGGCACUCUAGUAAGACUGCCGGUGACAAACCGGAGGAAGGUGGGGAUGACGUCAAAUCAUCAUGCCCCUUAUGACCUGGGCUACACACGUGCUACAAUGGAUGGUACAACGAGUUGCGAGACCGCGAGGUCAAGCUAAUCUCUUAAAGCCAUUCUCAGUUCGGACUGUAGGCUGCAACUCGCCUACACGAAGUCGGAAUCGCUAGUAAUCGCGGAUCAGCACGCCGCGGUGAAUACGUUCCCGGGCCUUGUACACACCGCCCGUCACACCAUGAGAGUUUGUAACACCCGAAGCCGGUGGCGUAACCCUUUUAGGGAGCGAGCCGUCUAAGGUGGGACAAAUGAUUAGGGUG
rnacentral:rRNA from 1 species